rnacentral:lncRNA from 1 species
AUCUUAAAAUUGAACCCACCCCUAUCCCUCUUCCUUUCUCCCUCCUCUAAAGGAAUCAAAUGGAAUGGAAGGAUUGAGGCUGAAUGUCUCCCAUUGCAAAUUGGGCAAAGGCUCUAGAAGCUGGAAGCUCAGCUGGAAAUGGAUUAAUGCAGCUGGAACACAACUACUGUGGUGUCAGGAUGCUGGGG